UAGGGAAUCUUCCGCAAUGGACGCAAGUCUGACGGAGCAACGCCGCGUGAGUGAAGAAGGAUUUCGGUUCGUAAAACUCUGUUGUUAGAGAAGAACAGCGCAUAGAGUAACUGUUAUGCGUGUGACGGUAUCUAACCAGAAAGCCACGGCUAACUACGUGCCAGCAGCCGCGGUAAUACGUAGGUGGCAAGCGUUGUCCGGAUUUAUUGGGCGUAAAGCGAGCGCAGGCGGUAAAUUAAGUCUGAUGUGAAAGCCCCCGGCUCAACCGGGGAGGGUCAUUGGAAACUGGUUGACUUGAGUGCAGAAGAGGAGAGUGGAAUUCCAUGUGUAGCGGUGAAAGGCGUAGAUAGAUGGAGGAACACCAGUGGCGAAGGCGACUCUCUGGUCUGUAACUGACGCUGAGGCUCGAAAGCGUGGGUAGCAAACAGG
rnacentral:rRNA from 1 species